UUCGCAAUGCCCGAAAGGGUGACGAAGCGACGCCGCGUGCGGGAAGAAGGCCUUCGGGUUGUAAACCGCUGUCGGGAGUUAGGAAAUGCAAGGAUGUUAAUAGCAUUCUUGCUUGACUAAGGCUCCGGAGGAAGCCACGGCUAACUCUGUGCCAGCAGCCGCGGUAAUACAGAGGCGGCAAGCGUUGUUCGGAAUUAUUGGGCGUAAAGAGCACGUAGGCGGCCCUGCAAGUCAGCUGUGAAAUCCUUCUGCUCAACGGAAGAACGGCAGUUGAUACUAUAGGGCUCGAGUGCGGGAGGGGAGAGUGGAACUUCUGGUGGAGCGGUGAAAUGCGUAGAUAUCAGAAGGAACAUCGGCGGCGAAGGCGACUCUCUGGCCCGUAACUGACGCUGAGGUGCGAAAGCUAGGGGAGCAAACGGGAUUAGAUACCCCGGUAGUCCUAGCCGUAAACGAUGGGCACUAAGUAGAGGGGUUUUA
rnacentral:rRNA from 1 species